ACGGGAGGCAGCAGUGGGGAAUAUUGGGCAAUGGGCGAAAGCCUGACCCAGCAACGCCGCGUGAAGGAAGAAGGUCUUCGGAUUGUAAACUUCUUUUAUCAGGGACGAAGAAAGUGACGGUACCUGAUGAAUAAGCCACGGCUAACUACGUGCCAGCAGCCGCGGUAAUACGUAGGGAGCGAGCGUUGUCCGGAAUUACUGGGUGUAAAGGGUGCGUAGGCGGGGAUGCAAGUCAGAUGUGAGAUGUAUGGGCUCAACCCAUGAACUGCAUUUGAAACUGCAACUCUUGAGUGAGGUAGAGGUAAGCGGAAUUCCUAGUGUAGCGGUGAAAUGCGUAGAUAUUAGGAGGAACAUCGGUGGCGAAGGCGGCUUACUGGGCCUUUACUGACGCUGAGGCACGAAAGCGUGGGGAGCAAACAGGAUUAGAUACCCUGGUA
rnacentral:rRNA from 1 species